rnacentral:lncRNA from 1 species
UGGAGGAGAAAGCAAGAGCUCCGGGAAGGAUUAUACUCGCCGGCGAACACGUUGUCGUCAUGGAUCUACCGCCAUUGUUGCCUCCACUGGUAUUUAUAUUUGUGUCUCUGCUCGCUUUCCAGGUCCUUCUUUUACGCAUUUUAGUACUUACUCACAUCUAUAUAUGUUUCUGGGUUUCAAUUAAACAGUGCUUGCUGAAAAUAGUGAUAUGAAAAUUACCUAUUUGAGAUUUUGAAUGAAUGUUGUUAAUUGAUUUUCUGAUGAUUAUUCUAGCUUACUUGUUGAUUUUACUCGAGCUAUGAUUUGAAUAUAAUCUAUAUUGUUUUGAUGAAAAUUAUUCCAUAAUGAAGGAAUUUUUGAAAUACUGAGUAUUUUAGGGUUGGGGACAAAUUAUUGGGAAAAAAAGUUCUAAUAUUGUUUGACUUUUGAUUAUGUAUUUUAUGAUUAGUGAAGUUGAUCCUUUGGAAUGCUUAAUUUAGAAGAUGUAGCUUUUGUCAGUUUAUGAUUAUACAAAAAACUGGGAGCAAGAAUUCGUUUGCCUUAAUUCGUUUGACUUAUGGGAUGAUAAGGGAGUUUAUUAUUAUAAGGAGCAUGAGGUGGGAUUAUUAGAAAGGAAAUAAAAGACACUAAGUGAUGGAUUAGCAGGAGCUGGCAAUAGGAGGUGUAAAUAGCCUAUCAUACUCAGCAGGCUAUUGCAAGUGUUAGCCAAGGAAAUGCAGUGCGGAUUUAUAAUUAAGCCCUCUAUUCCAAUUUCAAUCCUUUCUUACUGAUGCUGAAAUUAUAGUCUUCAGCUAGACUUUUAGAGAAUUUUGAGCAAGGAAGAAAACAGAGUAGAAAGAUAUAUUAGUUCAUGAUAUCUAACUUUAGCCCCAAGAUAAGAUACUUAUAGGCUUACUAGUACAAGAUUUUAGAUAAUUCAUCUCAAUCCUACAUCCUUUAUUAAUAGCUAGUUAUUUAUCUGAUAAGGAUGAAUUUGGGAACCAGGAACAGAGGAAGAGAAAGAGAAAAAUAGACAGGAAGUGAGGAGAAGAUUGCAGCAGGAGAAAAGAGAAUUUACUCAGUUAUAUUCCUUCCAAAAAAGACAGACAUGGCUUUAUAUAGCAGCCACAACAACGGAAACAAAUUAAACAACUGAAAUCAAAUAAAAUCUAGCUAGAAAAUAGGAACUACUUUAUUUGAAUAAUGUAACCACAAAUCCCACACAAUCUGCACAUUACUUGACCCACUCUUCAUGUAAUCCCAUGAUCCUAGGCCUAGCACGUAUCAUUCUUUCCCCCUUUUGAGUGAUCCUUGUCCUCAAGGAUGAAAUCUGGAUAAGACUUGGAAAAUCGCCAUUCAUUUUCCCAAGUGGCAUCCUCUUUUGGUGCUCCCUUCCACUUUACUAAGAUUUCUGGCUUGGGUCGAUACGUCCCCUUAGUAAUGACUCGUCGAUCUAGUAUAGUCUCGGGUUGUGGAAGGAUGGUAGAAUCAUCAGAGACGGAAGGCAGUUGGCUAGAAACCGGAGUUAAAGUCCCAAUAUGCUUACGUAACAGGCUGACAUGAAAAACAUUAUGAAUUUGAGAAUCUGGUGGAAGGUUUAAUUUGUAUGCAACUUCGCCCACCUUCUCCACGACUUUGUAUGGCCCAAAAAAUCGAGGUGCAAGCUUUAUGGACCUUCGGAAUGCAAUUGAAGUUUGUCGAUAUGGCUGUAGUUUUAGGAAAACAUAAUCCCCAACUUCAAAUGACACUGCCCUGCGAUGUUGAUCAGCUUGAAUUUUCAUUCGAUUCUGGGAAAGUGAUAAAUUAUGUUGCAGCUCCCUUAGUAUGGUAUCGCGGUCUUGAAGGUACUCAUCAAUAGCUUGGACACGAGCUGUUCCUGGAACAUAAGUUAAUAGGCUUGGUGGUGGAAUUCCAUAUACUGCUUCAAAUGGGGUCAUCUUUGUGGAAGAGUGAAUGGAUGUAUUAUAAUUAUACUCAGCCCAAGCAAGCCAUUCUACCCAUUUCCUUGGCUGAUCACCUGCAAAGCAUCGCAAAUAUUGCCCAAGAGUUCGAUUUACUACCUCGGUUUGCCCGUCCGACUGUGGAUGGUAGCUUGAACUCAUGCAAAGCUGGGUUCCUUGUAGAUGAAAAAGUGUUUUCCAAAAUGAGCUGAUAAAUACCUUGUCACGAUCACUGACAAUGGAGCUGGGCAUGCCAUGGAGUCGAACUACGUUGGCAAUGAAAGCCUUGACCACAUCUGAGGCUGUAAAGGGAUGUUUAAGGGCCACAAAAUGGGCAUAUUUGGAUAGCCUGUCAACCACUACCAUGAUCACGGUGCACCUAUCUGAUGGUGGCAAUCCCUCCACAAAAUCCAUUGAAACAUCAGUCCAAAUCUGCUUUGGAAUUGACAAAGGCUGAAGUAAUCCUGCCGGCUUCAUACAAUCUGACUUGUAACGCUGGCAUGUGUCACACUGUUUCAAAAAGUCCUUCACCGCUCGCUUCAUAUUUGUCCAAAAGGAAACUACGUCUGAUGCGAGCCAGAGUUUUAUGGAAGCCAAAAUGGCCACCCGUUGGUGAUGAGUGACUAUCAGCAAGUAUUUGUGGAACUAAGGUUGAAGAAGGGCUGAGAUAAAUCUUUCCAUCCUUGAACCAUACCCCAUCUCUUUGAAUCAACUUGGAAACUAACUGAGACUUAUUUCCUUCCAUUAAUCUUUUAUAAAAAAGAUCUUCUUUGACUUCUUUUUGCAAUGUACACCACCAAUCUGCAUUGGGCAUGGAUAUAGCCAGAAAUUGGAAUUCAACUACAUGAGAUAGAGAAUCGGCACCUUGAUUUUCCGAUCCCUUCUUAUAUUCAAUCUCAUAGUCAUAGCCAAGAAUUUUUGGAAGCCAUCGGGUCUGAGCUGGAGUAGUGAUGCGUUGCUCCAAUAAAAACUUCAAGCUCUUUUGGUCUGUGCGAACAGUGAAUGUUCUACCAAGUAGAUAGGGACGCCAUUUUUUAAUUGCUUUAACAAUUGCUAUCAUCUCUUUCUCAUAGGUGGACAAAGUUAUGGCCGAACCUUUUAAUGCUUCGCUGAAAUAUGCUAUCAGCCUGCCAUUUUGCAUCAAGAUUGCUCCAAUUCCGAUGCCACUCGCAUCGCACUCCACCACGAACCUUUGUGUAAAAUCAGGUAGACAGAGGAUCGGGGCUGAAGUUAAAGCGCUUUUAAGUUGGUUGAAGGCUGUUUCAGCUUGUUCAGUCCAUUGGAAUCCUGCUUUGGAUAGGAGCUGGUUCAAAGGAGCAACAAUGCUUCCAAAAUUGCGGACGAACUUUCGAUAAUAGCCUGCCAAACCAAGGAACCCGCGAACCCCUUUGACUGUUGUUGGCGUUGGCCAUUCAAGAACUGACUUUAUUUUAGUUGGAUCAACGGCUACCCUUUGCUCCGAAAUUAUAUGCCCCAAGUAAUCAACUUGUGUGACUCCAAAUUUACAUUUUGACUCCUUGGCAUAUAAGCUGUUGGAUGACAGUAUGUUUAAAACAACCUGCAAAUGUUUCAAGUGUUCCUUCCAAGAUUGAGAAUAUAUCAGAAUAUCAUCAAAGAAAACCAAAAUAAAUUUUCGGAGAUAAGGACGAAAAAGAUCAUUCAUGAGACUUUGGAAUGUUGCUGGCGCGUUUGUAAGGCCAAAUGGCAUCACAAUAAACUCGUAAUGCCCUUCAUGUGUUCUGAAAGCGGUCUUUGGAAUGUCUUCGUCAUAUACCCGGAUUUGGUGAUCCUGCCCUUAAAUCCAAUUUGGAAAAAUAUUUGGCUCCAUGUAGCUCAUCCAGGAGCUCAUCAAUAACAGGAAUAGGAUACUUAUCCUUCACCGUGAUGUUGUUUAAGGCCCGGUAGUCUACACAAAACCUCCAACUCCCAUCUGUCUUUUUCACUAGAAGAACUGGGGAAGAGAAAGGGCUUGUGCUAGGCCGAAUUAAUCCAGAAUCGAGCAGCUCUCUAACCAAUUUUUCUAUUUCAUUUUUUUGGUAAUAAGGGUAACGGUAGGGUCGCACACUCACUGGCUCUGCUUUGGGUAAUAAGGGUAUGUGGUGAUCAUGUGAACGUUUUGGAGGUAAGGAUUUUGGGGGUUCAAAUAUAUGGGAAAAUUUGGUUAAGAGGUGGUUAAUUUCUGGUGGGUGUGUUUGUGGCCUAUGGUUAGUAACAGAGGGAACAAUUUGAAGAAAAAACCCUGUACCUUGUAGAUGGCAGAGAUGGCAACAUUCUUUCUCGGAUAGAGGACCCACAAUCUUUUUCUUCAACCCAUAAAAAGUGUGAGAAUUUCCUCCAACUUUGAAGGUCAUAGUCAACUUUUUGUAAUCUGUCUCAAUUGGACCAAGAGUUUCAAGCCAUUGAACACCCAAAACUAGAGGACACGAUGCCAUUGGGAGAACAUAGUAAUCUGCUGUUAUGGCAUGCACUUGGAUGGUGAUGGUGAGUGCCUGACAUUGCCCAGAACAAACUAUCUUUUCUCCGUUGGCCACCAUAACCUGAAAUUUCUUAUCUCGGGCUACCGGUAAACUAAACUUCGAGACUAUGGCUUCAUCAAUGAAAUUAUGGGUACUACCCCCAUCGAUGAGUAUGGUUAUCAACUUGUUCUUUAUUUUUCCGUCCACACGCAAGGUUUGAGGAUGAUUGGUACCUGUAAUUGCAUGGAAAGAAAUCUCAGGCACCGACUCUGGUUCUUCUUCUUCUUGGUUGUUAUCAUCGAUGAAUGAGGGUGAGAUAUCUUCCAUCAUGAACAACUGAGGUCUUUCACAACGAUGGCCUGGAGUGAAUUUCUCAUCGCAAUAAUAGCACAACCCCUUAUCCCGUCGUUCCUUGGCUUCUUGAUUGGUAAUUCUCCUGAAGUUUGAGUUGGAAUUAUUGCUUCUUGGUGGAGGGCCUAAAACACCCGAAGUUUGGUUCUGAUUCACUUUGGGAAUGGCAGCAGCUUGAUUGAAACGGAGUGGCUGGUUUGAUUUCUUUUGCAAUUGAGUCUUUUCCUCUAUGAGUCGGGCCACGCCUAUGGCAUCAGCCAAGGUCUUUGGUUGUUUAACCUUGACCUCAAUAUGAAUGUCAUUACGAAGUCCCGCAAUGAAACACCCAAUGAGAAAGUUUUCUGGUAACCCAUCUACGCGGUGCGAGAACUUCUCAAAGGCUUCUUCGUAAACAACUACUGUUGAGGUUUGCUUAAGGCGGCUCAAAGAUUCAGAUGGAUCUUCAUAGUCAGUUGGCCCAAAACGGAGGAGGAGAGCUUUGGUAAAUUCCCCCCAUGUCAGUGGUCCUCGAAACUUUGUUAACCAACGGUGCCAUUGAAGAGCUAUGCCUUCCAAAUGGAAAGAAGCGAGUUGUACCUGUUGUUCCGGGGCUAUGCUUUUGAAAUCAAAGUACUGUUCAGCCUGAUACACCCACCCAAUUGGGUCUACACCAUCGAAUUUCGGAAAGAAUAAUUUGAGGGUGUUGUGAUUUUGUUGGUUGUUGGAUGUGGAUUGGUUGGUGCGGGAAGAGGACUCAUCUCGUCCAAAUGGCUUAAGGUCGUUUUGAUUAGUACGGGAGGUUCGGAGUGCUUGGAGCUCAGUUAACACCACUUGUAAGGUAGCAUUAACUUGAUCAAAGGUUGACUCGUGUUUGGCUAGGAUGUCGUUUACUUCGUUGCGGAACUUAGCAUUGGUUUUGCCACGGGUAUCCAUAAUUGGAACCUGCUUUGAUACCACUGAUAAGGAUGAAUUUGGCAACCAGGAACAGAGGAAGAGAAAGAGAAAAAUAGACAGGAAGUGAGGAGAAGAUUGCAGCAGGAGAAAAGAGAAUUUACUCAGUUAUAUUCCUUCCAAAAAAGACAGACAUAGCUUUAUAUAGCAGCCACAGCAACGGAAACAAAUUAAACAACUGAAAUCAAAUAAAAUCUAGCUAGAAAAUAGGAACUACUUUAUUUGAAUAAUGUAACCACAAAUCCCACACAAUCUGCACAUUACUUGACCCACUCUUCAUGUAAUCCCAUGAUCCUAGGCCUAGCACGUAUCAUUAUCACCCUUGGAUUGAAUGUUGACUCACCUAAUAAACUACCGAGUGUUUCUUUUUCUGCCCCUGCUGUAACCUUGCAGCCAUGUGGGUUCCUUAAUUUGUCUCCUUGACCUUCUUAGCUCAUUUAGUGUGAAUAAGUCCUCCAGCUCAUCCUCUUCUAGCUCCAUUUGAUCACCUACCUCCUUUUUCUUUAAUACCUCAUGAUUAGCUGUGAUGAUUCCCUCAUUUUCUGUAGUUUGUUCCCGUUGUUUUCCACUUCUUUUCCCUCAUGUGUUGCUGUUGCUUCUUCAUUGAUAUGAAUUAGCUGCUGGUUACCAACUGGGUUGGGACUCAUGUUUGUAUCACUUACCCAGCUGCAACCGUCCCUCUUCCUGCCCAAUUCCAACUGUCCCUCCUAUACCAAUUCUCAACUCAUUCGUUCAGUUUAGAUAAGACAAAUUGGAGCUUCAAGGAUUCGUUGGAGCAGUUGAGAUUAAACUAAAGGAUAAUGAAAAUUUUUAAACAAGCAGGCAUCAGAUACUAUAACAUGUCCUCAAUGUUUGACCAAAGUUGGUUCAUGUAUGACUAGUUGGUAAUUACCAGUGCAUGUGUAAUUGGUGGUGCAAAAAAAGUGUUAACCCUGGAUGUUAUAGAGAUUGAUAUAUUUGUUUAGUUAUGUAAAAAUCAAAAGAAUUGAAAUUUGGAAUAUGAAUAAACUAACUAGUUUGGUAAAUAAUUGGUUAUAUAUGAAUCGAUUGUGUAAAUGUUGAUAUGGACUGGAAUUAGAAACAAGGGGUAUAUGUUUGGUUGUGUGGUGAUAUAAGGAGACUAAAAUGGGAUAAUAGCUCAAACAAAUGGCUGUGAAAUAAGUGUUUCAAAUCAGCGCACAUAUAGUGUUUGAUAAAAGUCCUAUAUGGACUGUUUUGGUUAAAAACCAAGUAAGAGACAAAACCAAGGUUUAGGCUGGAUAUAUGUAUAUUAUAUAAUGAUAAUUAAAGAGUUUGGGCGAAUUAAAUUAAAGAGGAAGCAAUUUUAAGCCAAAACGAAAAAUUUAAAAGUUAGUGUGUCGGGCUACUUUUGUCUAACUGUUUCGGCUUGUUAGACUAGCUGGAAAAUUUUAAGCUUCUGGGGUCUAGUAGUGUGCAAUCCCAGUUAGCCAUAGCCUCCGGAAUGGACUCGUUCCGAGUUCGGACGAUCGAGUUAUGAUGUGUCAAAGUCGGUGCAUCUAAUUUGUCAAAAAUCUGGAAAACCGAUUCAGACCAGUCUCUUGCACGAAUUUUCUGGAAUUUUGUGUUAGGAAUUUGAAAAUGGUCAAAGCAUAAGAUUUUUAUCCCCGGAAGUUAGCUUCGCGUGGGCGCAAGAAUUGCUCAAAAAUGUUUUGAAACGAAAAAGUUAUGACUGUUUUAGCGAGAGAGGGUAAAGCUGGAAAUGAAUUGGAAACUGUUAUGAACGUCCACUUUUGACGCACUGUUUGGGCUGCCUAAUGAAACCAAAUUGGGUGACUCGUAUUUUUUAAAAAUAGUCUUACAUACCAUGUAUAACAUAUUCGAAAAUGAGCGCGAUCCGACAUGCGAGCCAAAAAUGGAAAAAUUGCAAAAUAGCCGUGUCGCGAAGGGGGCUGCUGCCCACAACAGCACACAGUACAGCAGCAGCGCACAGUAGCAGUUGGCUGGGGGCUAUUUUGGCCUCUUGUUUAACGCGUCUAAAUUACCCAAAAUGUUCGGUUAGCAUUUUCUAAAAAUAGGUGGACAUACCACCUAUAACAUAUCCAAAUUGGGAUGGGAUCGGAUUAGCGAAAUAGGAAUUAGAAAAUUGUGAAACGGGCAUUGAGUGCUUGGGAUUGCCCAGUGAAGGUCAAGCCCCACUGAACCACGCUAGGCCAAGCUGCCAGUCGUGCCCAGCUGUGGUGCUGUUUAGAUUUCGCAAUGUUUUGCUUCAAUGGUUUUGAUGAUUUAGCUUUUGGGAAUGGAAUAGAAAUAAAAUAAUACAAAUGUGUGAAAUGAUUUAAUAUUUAUAAUUUAUAUAUAUAAAUUAUAAAUACAUUUAAUACAUAAGCUAAACUACUAAAACGCUUUAGUUUACAUAUAAAAGUAUGAGCAUUCAUGAGAUAUGAAUGGUUAUAAACCAAGCAUGUAACGUAAUGAUAUGCUAAAGCCAUGUCGAAGCCUUUUAAAAUGUAAAUUCGUUCAAUAUACAAGAGAAGCAAUAAAAGUAUUAUGUAAACGUAAGUUUACAUAUGCAGAGCUUAUUUGUGUAAUGAAGUAUAAAGAGAGUUAUAUAUUAAAAUGGAAUGUGUUAAUAUUGAAUGUAAAAUUUGAAAACAAAAGGGUUUUCGAAAUACAAAAAUAAAUAAAUUAUGAGAACGGAAUCAAUAAUUUAUUAAAAGACAUAUGUAUAAAACUAAUAUACAUAUGAAAUGAGAAUUCAAUUUAUUCGCGAGAGUGAACAUUAAGUUAUGGAUACACUAUGUAAAUUAAUGAUACGAGACGUUCGUGUACGUAAUUAUAAAUGAGUUAGUAUAUGGACUAACGCAAGGAUAUAAAAUGCGAAGCUAAGUUAUUAAUAAAGUAAAGCAUUCACAUAUGUGGCGAUAGCAUGGUUUAGCACAUGAACUAUCAAAAAGGCAUGAAAAUUACGUAAGUUAAGGAAAUGAUGAGAUAAGCUAUGUCUAUGCUAUAAAAGCUAUUUAUAAAGCAUAUAGUACCAAGUUUACAAAUAGAGACAUGAAAUAUUUCUAUAAAUGGACAUAAAUGGUUUAUGUUUUGAAAUGUAAAGUAUUUAUAUACUAAAGCCAUGAGAUAACCUUUUUGGGCAUAAAAAGGGUUAUAAUGAACGAAAGUUUCUAAAGAAACAUGAAAUAGUUUUAAGAUGAGAACAAAUGAUUAUAGUUACUGUAAAUAAAUUUGUUUACAUUGAGUAUGUGAAUUUAGUAUGUGGAACUAAUAUGUGCAUGUAUGUAUCCUCAAUUUAUGUAGGAUCAUCACAAAGCCAAUAAGUUAUAACAUUAAACAACACUCGGGCAAGUCUUCCAGUUUCUUUGUGAUACUAUAAAUUGGUUAUUGUAUGAGAUCUUUAAGAAUAUGUUGAAUUACAUGUUACAUGCUAUAAACUGUGAAAGUCAAUAUAUGACUAAGCUGAUUAAGUUAUGGAACUCAAUAUAUGUGUGAUAUAUGAUAUGAACAUAUAUUGUUUAAAGUGAUGAUGCAUGAAUGGUAUAAAGGAUUAUGAGAUAUAUGUUGAGUAUGAAACUAUGUGUUAUAUGAAGCAUGAAAACUGUUAAAUUUGCUGGGCUGUCGAGCUCAGUCUUGCAAAAAUAUAAAUAUAAUAUAUUUUUGUAGGUAUGAUAUGCAACACGAUUUCUUGCUAUCCGGAUGAUAAAGAAUAGAGGCGUGCGUGCAGGAAAGUUGUUUCCUUUUAGUAGGAAUUAUAUUAUAUCGAAAUGGCGAUUUUUGAUUUGUAAAUAAGAAUUGUGUAAAUAUUGAGUUAUUCGAUAA